AGAAGCGCACAAUCUUGUCACGUGCUCGUGGCGAGCUUGGUCUUAGAGUCUUCCUUACAGAUGAUCCGUCAGUGAGGGUGUCCGCUCCAGGUCAGGAUUUUAAUUUUGCAAGCACACCCACCACUGCCCAAGAGCAGGCAACUGUCAAUUCUAUUCCAAAUCCUUUCCAAGAAACCAGGACAAAUGAAGUGAGGCAAUUCCAACACUUACCACGGGAACAGCAGCGACCAGCCCCGAUGGCGGGGCAGCAAUACUACGCUCAGGGACAGGGUUCAUAUGGAGAUCAGCAGCAGAGAAACUACGCCGCUGCUGGGAACAAACCUGAAGCCCCUC
rnacentral:lncRNA from 1 species